rnacentral:rRNA from 1 species
CAGCCGCCGCGGUAAUACAGAGGGUGCAAGCGUUAAUCGGAAUUACUGGGCGUAAAGCGCGCGUAGGUGGUUCGCCAAGUUGGAUGUGAAAUCCCCGGGCUCAACCUGGGAACUGCAUCCAAAACUGGCGAGCUAGAGUAUGGUAGAGGGUGGUGGAAUUUCCUGUGUAGCGGUGAAAUGCGUAGAUAUAGGAAGGAACAUCAGUGGCGAAGGCGACCACCUGGACUGAUACUGACACUGAGGUGCGAAAGCGUGGGGAGCAAACAGGAUUAGAUACCCGCGUAGUCCCUGUCUCUUAUAC